CAGUAGCCGCGGGAAAACGGAGGGAGCUAGCGUUGUUCGGAAUUACUGGGCGUAAAGCGCACGUAGGCGGACAUUUAAGUCAGGGGUGAAAUCCCGGGGCUCAACCUCGGAACUGCCUUUGAUACUGGGUGUCUUGAGUGUGGAAGAGGUAAGUGGAAUUGCGAGUGUAGAGGUGAAAUUCGUAGAUAUUCGCAGGAACACCAGUGGCGAAGGCGGCUUACUGGUCCACAACUAACGCUGAGGUGCGAAAGCGUGGGGAGCAAACAGGAUUAGAUACCCGCGUAGUCCCUGUCUCUUAUAC
rnacentral:rRNA from 1 species